rnacentral:rRNA from 1 species
AGCAGCCGCGGUAAUUCCAGCUCCAAUAGCGUAUAUUAAAGUUGCUGCAGUUAAGAAGCUCGUAGUUGAAUUUCGGGACCAAUAUGUCGGUCGUGCCUCGGUACGCACUGGCAUUAUUGGUUCCUACCUUCUGAAGAACCGCGAUGUCAUUAAUUUGGUGUCGCGGGGAAUCAGGACUGUUACUUUGAAAAAUUAGAGUGUUUAAAGCAGGCUCACGCUUGAAUACAUUAGCAUGGAAUAAUGAAAUAGGACGUUUGAUUCUAUUUUGUUGGUUUCUAGGAUCGACGUAAUGAUUAAUAGGAUAGUUGGGGGCAUUAGUAUUCAAUUGUCAGAGGUGAAAUUCUUGGAUUUAUUGAAGACUAACUACUGCGAAAGCAUUUGCCAA